rnacentral:rRNA from 1 species
GAUGAACGCUAGCUACAGGCUUAACACAUGCAAGUCGAGGGGCAGCGUGGAGCAGCAAUGCUCUGACGGCGACCGGCGGAAGGGUGCGUAACACGUGAGCGACUUGCCCGUCACAGGGGGAUAACCGGCGGAAACGGCGACUAAUACCCCAUACGAUGCGAUGCUGCAUGGCAUUGCAUUGAAAGAUUCAUCGGUGGCGGAUAGGCUCGCGGGACAUUAGGUUGUUGGCGGGGUAACGGCCCACCAAGCCUUCGAUGGAUAGGGGUUCUGAGAGGAAGGUCCCCCACAUUGGAACUGAGACACGGUCCAAACUCCUACGGGAGGCAGCAGUGAGGAAUAUUGGUCAAUGGACGAGAGUCUGAACCAGCCAAGUAGCGUGAAGGAUGACUGCCCUAUGGGUUGUAAACUUCUUUUAUACGGGAAUAAAGUGAGGCACGUGUGCCUUUUGUAUGUACCGUAUGAAUAAGGAUCGGCUAACUCCGUGCCAGCA